GCGCUGGUGCUGGAAUUGGCAGACAGGCACGCUUGAGGUGCGUGUGCCGUAAGGCGUGGAGGUUCAAGUCCUCUCCAGCGCACAA
rnacentral:tRNA from 1 species